rnacentral:rRNA from 1 species
ACAGCACCGCCGCGGUAAUACGUAGGGCGCAAGCGUUGUCCGGAAUUAUUGGGCGUAAAGAGCUCGUAGGCGGUCUGUCGCGUCUGGUGUGAAAUCCCGAGGCUCAACCUCGGGCUUGCAUCGGGUACGGGCAGACUAGAGUGCGGUAGGGGAGACUGGAAUUCCUGGUGUAGCGGUGGAAUGCGCAGAUAUCAGGAGGAACACCGAUGGCGAAGGCAGGUCUCUGGGCCGCAACUGACGCUGAGGAGCGAAAGCAUGGGGAGCGAACAGGAUUAGAUACCCCAGUAGUCCCUGUCUCUUAUACA